CAAGUUUUUCUUAAAGACAUUUGAGGCACUAAUCUAAAAAGGCUGACGACAAUAUGUCUGGAAUUUCACUCAGCCCUGUGCUUCUUCUUAUAAUUAUCAAAUUGGUCCUGUCGUCGCCAGUACACGAGAAUGUAGGACCGAAAAUAUAUAGUAAUGUCGAGGUAGCCACUCAGAGAACUGUUCAGCUCGAACACCUUCAUGAUAACGUAUACAGAAUUAUACUUCCUGAUCGUGCGGGAAAUUUGCUUGAGCAAAUUGUGGAAGAAACUGGGCCUGGCCAGUUUACAGGAAUAGAUGACCUAAAACGUGCUUAUGUUGGACCAGCGGGAAGACUAAUCAUAACCAACAAAACGGGUACUAAUUCCUACUUAACCAGGUACACAAUUAUACCGAAGGAACUUCAAUUGCCGGCACCUGCAAAACAAUAACUGCAUAAUCAAGACUUUCACUAAUUUUUGUCAAUCAUUAAAUGCUGUAGAUAAUUGGCUUUAUUGUUGCUCAACAUUUAA